GACGAACGCUGGCGGCGUGCCUAAUACAUGCAAGUCGAACGCAGUUGCGAACGGGUGAGUAACGCGUAGGCAAUUGCCUCAUAACGGGGGAUUACUUUUUGAAACGAUAGCUAAUACCGGAAACUGUGACAUGGAUCUGCUUUGGAUUAGCUAGUUGGUGAGGUAAAGGCUCACCAAGGCGACGAUACAUAGCCGGCCUGCGAGGGUUAUCGGCCACAAUGGGACUGUGACACGGCCCAGACUCCUACGGGAGGCAGGAGGAGGGAAUUGUCGGAAAUGGAGGGAAGUCUGAACGAGCAACGCCGCGUGAGUGAAGAAGGGUUUUGGAUCGUAAAGCUCUUUUGUGAGGGAAGCGGUAACUAACGAGAAAGGGACGGCUAACUACGUGCCAGCAGCCGCGGUAAUAC
rnacentral:rRNA from 1 species